rnacentral:rRNA from 1 species
UACGGAGGGUGCGAGCGUUGUCCGGAAUCACUGGGCGUAAAGGGCGCGUAGGCGGCCGUUCAAGGGCGCGGUGAAAGCCCGGGGCUCAACCCCGGGUCGGCCGUGUCGACUGGAGGGCUCGAGCUCUGUAGGGGCGGGUGGAAUUCCGGGUGUAGCGGUGGAAUGCGCAGAUAUCGGGAGGAACACCGGUGGCGAAGGCGGUUCUCUGGGCCUGUUCUGACGCUGAGGAGCGAAAGCGUGGGGAGCAAACAGG